rnacentral:rRNA from 1 species
UGAGCAAUCUGCCCUUCUCAUCGGAAUAACCAUUGGAAACGAUGGCUAAUGCCGAAUAUGACCUCGGAUCACAUGUUCUGAGGUGGAAAGCUCCGGCGGAGAAGGAUGAGCUCGCGGCCUAUCAGCUUGUUGGUGAGGUAAUGGCUCACCAAGGCAUUGACGGGUAGCCGGCCUGAGGAGGGUGACCGGCCACACUGGGACUGAGACACCGGCA